UGGGGAAUUUUGGACAAUGGGCGAAAGCCUGAUCCAGCAAUGCCGCGUGUGUGAAGAAGGCCUUCGGGUUGUAAAGCACUUUUGUCCGGAAAGAAAUCCUUGGCUCUAAUACAGUCGGGGGAUGACGUACCGGAAGAAUAAGCACCGGCUAACUACGUGCCAGCAGCCGCGGUAAUACGUAGGGUGCAAGCGUUAAUCGGAAUUACUGGGCGUAAAGCGUGCGCAGGCGGUUUGCUAAGACCGAUGUGAAAUCCCCGGGCUCAACCUGGGAACUGCAUUGGUGACUGGCAGGCUAGAGUAUGGCAGAGGGGGGUAGAAUUCCACGUGUAGCAGUGAAAUGCGUAGAGAUGUGGAGGAAUACCGAUGGCGAAGGCAGCCCCCUGGGCCAAUACUGACGCUCAUGCACGAAAGCGUGGGGAGCAAACAGGAUUAGAUACCCUGGUAGUCCACGCCCUAAACGAUGUCAACUAGUUGUUGGGGAUUCAUUUCCUUAGUAACGUAGCUAACGCGUGAAGUUGACCGCCUGGGGAGUACGGUCGCAAGAUUAAAACUCAAAGGAAUUGACGGGGUCAUAGCUGUUUCCU
rnacentral:rRNA from 1 species